rnacentral:rRNA from 1 species
UGGGGAAUAUUGGACAAUGGGCGAAAGCCUGAUCCAGCCAUGCCGCGUGUGUGAAGAAGGCCCUCGGGUUGUAAAGCACUUUCAGCGAGGAAGAACGCCUAGGGGUUAAUACCCCCUAGGAAAGACAUCACUCGCAGAAGAAGCACCGGCUAACUCCGUGCCAGCAGCCGCGGUAAUACGGAGGGUGCAAGCGUUAAUCGGAAUUACUGGGCGUAAAGCGCGCGUAGGUGGCUUGAUAAGCCGGUUGUGAAAGCCCCGGGCUCAACCUGGGGACGGCAUCCGGAACUGUCAAGCUAGAGUGCAGGAGAGGAAGGUAGAAUUCCCGGUGUAGCGGUGAAAUGCGUAGAGAUCGGGAGGAAUACCAGUGGCGAAGGCGGCCUUCUGGACUGACACUGACACUGAGGUGCGAAAGCGUGGGUAGCAAACA